rnacentral:rRNA from 1 species
GGGGAUAACUUGGGGAAACCCAAGCUAAUACCGCAUACGACCUACGGGUGAAAGGGGGCUUUUAGCUCUCGCUAUUAGAUGAGCCUAAGUCGGAUUAGCUGGUUGGUGGGGUAAAGGCCUACCAAGGCGACGAUCUGUAGCUGGUCUGAGAGGAUGAUCAGCCACACUGGGACUGAGACACGGCCCAG